ACGCACCGGGGUGGGGGAGCGCUCGGCAACCACGAGGAGUGGGUGGAGGAAGGAGAGCUGUCUGUCCUGAGAAUGAGACCUUAGCUCCCCCAGAGAGAUGGCCCCAGGAAAGAUGGGCGUGGAGAACAGCGAGGCUCUAGGGGAGAGCUUGUACUCGGACGCUGUUUGUAUCUCUGUUCAUCUUUGGCACUCUAAAGGCGGCCGUAUGUGGAGUGGAGGGGCCCUUUGUCCCUACUUUGCUAGACAAGGGUUCCUGUGUCCCAGCCCUGCCUUCAACUCACUGUGUACCUCAAAAUGACGUUGAGCCCUACCUCUAACUCCCAACUUUUUUAUUGGUGCAAGAAGUGGAACUUGGGGCCUUCUCGCUUGCUUGGCAAGUGCUCUACCACCGAGCUACACGCCCAGCUCCUUGACUGGAAAUAAAGACUAGAAAAUGGA